UGGUCCCAUGGUCUAGUGGUCAGGACAUUGGACUCUGAAUCCAGUAACCCGAGUUCAAAUCUCGGUGGGACCUUUUGUUCUCUUCUAUUUCCCGUUUUCAUAAACCGAGGGCACUAACGUCAUUACGUAACCUCAGCUAAACAGAGAGAGGACAUGACGCGUGUUCAUUGUUCUACUAAGCUCAACGGAUUAGGCGCGCAAGAUAGCAAAACAAAGUAACA